UUAAAUUUUAGCAAACUCUGCUUAGGAUUGAU
rnacentral:piRNA from 1 species